rnacentral:rRNA from 1 species
AUUGAAUGCUAAGAGAAUGGAAGUCCAGAAAAAAACUUUUUUUAAAUUAAAAAUUGAAGUUUUUUUAAUUUGUGCAGAAACAAUUAUUUAUAUUAAAGACAAGAAGACCCUAUGAAUUUAUUAAAUUUUUAUUUAAUAUGUAAUUACUAUUAGAAAAAUUUUGGCUGGGGCGGCUAGAAAAUAUUAUGAACUUUUUAAAAAUAAAAUGAUCCAUUAUUAAUGAUUUUAUGUUAAAUACUCUAGGGAUAACAGCGUUAUAUUUUUUGAUAGAUCAUAUUGACAAAAAAGUUUGCGACCUCGAUGUUGGAUUAGGAUACUUUUUUAAUGAAGAUAUUAAAAAAAGAAGUUUGUUCAACUUUUAAUUUCCUACUUGAUCUGAKUCAGACCGGA